rnacentral:rRNA from 1 species
GACGAACGCUGGCGGCGUGCUUAACACAUGCAAGUCGAACGGUAAGGCCUUUCGGGGUCCUACGUGUGGCGAACGGGUGAGUAACACGUGAGCAACCUUCCCUUGACUUCGGAUUACCAGCUGGUAACAGCUGCUAAUACCGGAUAUUACCCUGGUCCUCCUGGACUGGGGUGGAAAGCUCCGGCGGUCAGGGAUGGGCUCGCGGCCUAUACGCUUGUUGGUGUGGUAAUGGCUCACCAAGGCCUCGACGGGUAGCCGGCCUGGGUGGGCGACCGGCCACACUGGGACUGAGAGAAGGCACAGACUCCGACGGGAGGCAGCAGUGGGGAAUAUUGCACAAUGGGCGCAAGCCGGAUGCAGCAACGCCGCGUGCGGGAUGACGGCCUUCGGGUUGUAAACCGCUUUCAGUAGGGACGAAGCCACAAGUGACGGUACCUACAGAAGAAGGACCGGCUAACUACGUG